GGCGGACGGGUGAGUAACACGUGGGUAACCUGCCCUUAAGUGGGGGAUAACAUUUGGAAACAGAUGCUAAUACCGCAUAGAUCCAAGAACCGCAUGGUUCUUGGCUGAAAGAUGGCGUAAGCUAUCGCUUUUGGAUGGACCCGCGGCGUAUUAGCUAGUUGGUGAGGUAAUGGCUCACCAAGGCGAUGAUACGUAGCCGAACUGAGAGGUUGAUCGGCCACAUUGGGACUGAGACACGGCCCAAACUCCUACGGGAGGCAGC
rnacentral:rRNA from 1 species